rnacentral:lncRNA from 1 species
GGCUGUAUUUACAUACAAGCUUGUGUUCAUACUCUACUUUGUGCGUACACACUGUGUUGGUUCAUGGUUUCAUACUUGUCAUAUCUUCAUCUACAACAUCAUUAGGGAAAGUCCACUUCUAAUUAAAUCAUUAUCAUCGUCAAACAAGCACCAUCUAGCCAGUAUGCAUGAACACAUGAUGCAGUCAGGGUUCUUCCAGUGGAUUCUGGCUUCUGCACCUUCUGCACACAUGUGUCGCACACCGGGCAAACAUAUACAAGCAGGGCAUCGAUACCCUUCCUGAACGAUAAGCAAAGCAAAGCAAAAUCAAAGCAGCUGCACUUGACUGCGCCCCCAUCAUGCCCUGCUGCGCCCCCUUUCUUUCCUCUCACUAGAAAACUUUUCAGAUGCAAAUCUCUUUAGGGCAUGCAACUGAAAAAGAAGGAAAGAUGUAGAUAGAUAUAUAGACCAUGUUGCGCAAAAGCUACACAUGCACACUGCAGAGAUAUAUCUGAAGAAAAAAAAGGCAAUAAUGUAUGUAUGCAGACCCACGUUGUUAGAUUCUGCCUGCGGCGACCAUGACCGUCCACCUUGUGGAAUGAUGAGGAGAAGGAGGAGAAGCUAGCAACAUCGAUGGAUGGGUUAAUUGAUCAUGCAAAGUCAUGCAUGCAUCCAUGCAUUUGGAAAGCUGCAUGUUAUAGCUAGCUUCUGAAGCUGAUAAGACCAGUGAGUGAGUGAGUUUACAGUUGCAGGUCAUGGCUAGACUAACAAAGGAAAGAUGUUUGCAAAACCCUUUUCAACACACACCAACGCGCCGCCUUUCCUGACCUCUCACUGUCUAAAGAAACCCUAACAAAGGCACAAGCUAGGCAUGCAAGAUCGAUCAUGGAUUUGAUCUGUCGCUGCUACAACUGGUCUAAAAGUGCUUAUCCGGCCGCCCGGCGCCCGCUUUGCGGCGAUGGAUGGAUGGAUCAUCGUCCUGAGCAAUUAAGAAUCCAAAAUUACGACCUCGAUGAAAAUGAGGAAAGAAUUAUUUGCUAGCAUUACAUUGCCUAGUGAUGAUGAUUGAGGAGGGUGAAUCCAUGAAGUAACUAGCUAGCUAGCGAGUAACAUUGAUCCGUACCAGGGCAUGGUGUGUGGCAUGGAUUGGUGGGGUGGAUUAGGACGACGUGUCGCCGCCGAGCUUGGCCAGCAGGGCGGCGACGAGCUGGUGCCGGCGCUCCUCGCGCUCCUCGGCGCGCGCCCUCCACGCGUCCUCGCGCUCGCGCCAGCGGCGCACGAGCGCGAGCCGCUCCUCGCCGAGCGCGACCAUGGCGGCGCGCCACUCCUCCUCGCGCGCCCGGCGCUCGGCGUCGCGCGCCUCCGCGGCCUCCAUCCACCGCUCCUCCAUCUCCAUCUGCC